rnacentral:rRNA from 1 species
CAGCAGUAGCCGCGGGAACACCGAGGGUGCAAGCGUUAAUCGGAAUUACUGGGCGUAAAGCGCGCGUAGGUGGUUUGUUAAGUUGGAUGUGAAAUCCCCGGGCUCAACCUGGGAACUGCAUCCAAAACUGGCAAGCUAGAGUAUGGUAGAGGGUGGUGGAAUUUCCUGUGUAGCGGUGAAAUGCGUAGAUAUAGGAAGGAACACCAGUGGCGAAGGCGACCACCUGGACUGAUACUGACACUGAGGUGCGAAAGCGUGGGGAGCAAACAGGAUUAGAUACCCGCGUAGUCCCUGUCUCUUAUAC